CGCCCGGAAGUGGCAACAAGACUGCAACAUCCCCUCACGCCUAGUCUGUAAAGAACUUUGUUUAACCCGGAGGCGGGGCCAGCCAGCUCCGCCCCUCCAGCUGGACGCGGGAGCGAGGUUGAGGUUCAUACCCCUGGGUUCUCUCCAGGCCUGAGGCGGAGAGCCAGCCGCCUGCCUACCUCUGGGCUUUGAACCCCGGGUCUGGUGACUUCGCUUAAAGACCUCGGGCCGAAGGCCCGCCAGGCUCAACCUCGGUUCACAGGACCCCCGACUUGUGUCAAGGAAGAGCAAGACUGAAAAUGUUUACCAGAUUUAUAAUCGAGGAGGUCCUGGAUGACCUUGGCAAAAGCAACCCCAAUGGCAUGGGAAUGAAUGUUUACCAAGAUGAUGCCAGUAUAGCUAGUGAGAUGCAGCACCCCAUCCUCAGCCCCCUCGCCUCUGGAAGAGACACCAGACUGCAAAGGGCACCGCGUACAGAAGCUAACGGAACUUGAAUGACAAGACAAAAAGAGCAGAAUCAGUUAGUGUGACACAACAUUCUAACAUGCCUGAUUCUUACAUCAAAUAUGGUAACUUUGGGGUUGGUAGGGGGAGACAAACAAGGAGAAUCCACUUGGGAACAAUUUGAUGAAGUUUGCAAAUCAGCACUUUACCCCCAAAUUAACAACAGCUUGUAUGGAAAAAAAAAUGCUCUUUUAAAAGUAUAUGGUUUGGACAGGUAUAUUUGUUUUCUCUUGUAGUUUUUGUAAAAAAGUAUCAAAACCUUGGCUUUAAAUAUAUAUAUAUAUAUAUAUAUACACACACACACACGUGGCUUUUUAAAAAUUACUUUUUUAUAGCACAAAGUGUUUGUAAAUGCAGAGGGUUUCUGCUAAUUCUUGACUGUGCACAUGGUGCAUAGCCUGAAUGAACAGAGCUUCCUGAUUUUUUUUUAACUGAAAAAUUGAAGCAGUAAUUCUUUAACCUUCUAAAUUCUCCAUACCCUAAAAAUACAGUGUGAGAAGUCUGUUACUCUAUCUUCAUGCAUUUCGGGAAAAGGAAUUAUUUACUCUGAAACAUUUAAUGCUAACUCAUUUAUAUUUUGUGAAACGAUGAGUGUAUGGCUGGAGUUCGGGGGGUAGGGUGGAGAGGCUUGCAUUCCUGUGCCAUUUCCCCAUUCCCACCAGUGCCCAACUGGACAGUGAUUAGUAUCCCCUCUCCAGACUCAACGUCUUCAACAUUUUCGUUUUUCUUUCUCACAGUUGAGAAAAUCUAAGAGGCUCUCGACAACAUGGCAUGCAUCUGUGAAAAUCCCACUGCCCUUAUAUUAGUCUUCAUUGACCAUAUAAAAAAUCUUUGACUCAAAUAUAUGAAAAGCAGUCAGCAUUUCCCUUUGGCCACUGGAAAGCUUGAGGCUGAAUAAUAUCAGUUCUGCAAAGUGCUGGCAAUGCAUCCUAAUGAAUUUUCCAUGAUGCAUGUAGUGCCUUGUACACAAUGAUCAAGAAAUGCUUCAUUGAAUCAGAAAUUAAUCUAUUUUAUAAAGUGCUUACAUUGAAUCUCUUUCCAUACAGCCUCAUUUCUUGCCCCCCUUGAGCCUUUUGUUCCUGUUAGAAUGAACUGUGCAAUUCCUAAAGUCCCUGUGCUCUUUCAUACCUCUGUGUUUUAGCUCGAUGUGUCUCUGUCUGAAGCAGCUUGGAAUCCCCUUCUUAAUUUUUAAGACUUAAGGUCACUUCUAUGAUGACCCUAUUCCUCAUUUCUUAGGUGGAAAGACCCCUCUCUCCUUUGAGCCCUAACAGUGCUCUGAAUAGAAUCAAUGCCUUUUUUGUUUCCACAUAUAUCAUCCUCCACUGCUACUGUGAACUCUGUAAAGUCAGAACAUGUGUGACUGACCUUUACAUCUGCAGUGCCAGGUGUGUAGUUGGUAUCUAGUGAGUGGUUUUAGUGAAUGAAUAUACUGCAGUCAUACUGAGAUAACUGGAGGGAUCAAUAGGACUUACUGCCAUACAUUUAAAUCCGAUCUCAUUCUCUUUUUGCCAGUUAACAGGUUACUUCAAUCUGUUUUAUAAAUAAUCUGUGUAUCAAGAGUAAAUAAGUACAGUUUCGUUUUCUCUGUUUCUAGAAGGCAUUUCAGUUAGUGCCUUUGUAAUUCCACUGGAGGAAAGGUAGACCAUAGUAUAGGUAGCAGGUUUGAUACAAUGUUCAGGCAGCCCAAAAUAGUCUUCCUGCAGAAGGAAAUGGAGGAAACGCACUGGGACUGGCUUCUGAUAAAUUUUCUGCCCCCUUGGCAUUGUCUCUGAGCUUCCUUCCAGCUCUAUAGUCCAGUGACUCUGUGAUCUGUGAUUGGCUGUAGAUAGCUAUGCACGGGGGCAAAAGGCAAAAGAUAUGUAACUGUACCUCAAAAUGAGGCUGAAAAGCCUCUAUGAAUGGGGGAAGGUGGAUCUGACUCCUCAGGUUUCAUCUUAUUUACUGCCGUCCAACACAUGAAUAUAUCACAAUUUGUUUCUUGUAAAGGGUUGCUCCCAUUGCUGCCUCUUUCAAACUGCAGUUGUAGCAUAUGCAGGAAACAUGAAUGUCUCUGAGAAAAAGUUGUGAAUUUCAUUGUCAUUUUGAGAUCUCAGGCUGUAUGUCCAGACCCCAUUCAUCAUUUUUUUCUGUGAAUGCCAGGAUCUUACUGAAAGUUUAGAAACUAUGCCUUAGCCACUGUUAUCAUUUAAUUCCUUGGAAAAUUCAGUUUCUUUGGAAGGUUACAGAAAAAGUCACUUGUUUUGAGUACAUUUCCAUGUUUUUCACUGUCAUCAUUUUUCUUCAGUCAAAAAUAAUUUUACUUUCCGUUCUUAAAAGAAUAGUAAUAUGUGAGUAAGCUCCAUAGGAGUUGGCCACCUGUUCUUAAAAUUCUGUUUGGUAUUGGUCAUUCUAGGUCAACUGCAUUUACCCUCUCAAUGAAUGUUUCAGGACUAUCAACACAUGCAUGUCAUGAGGAGAUUGCUGGAUUAUGCAAAACACACUGCCCAAGCUCCAGAAUAUAGUUAUUUUCUUAGAGUUUAGGAGGCCAAGAGUGACACAGAGGAAGGUCCUAGGUACAGGAUGCUAGAACUCCAGAAUGUCUGACUGAAAAUUCAAAGGGUAUCAAGCUGGUGAGACAUCCAACUUCAUUGAGUUGGGGGCAUCUGGCAGGUAGGGAUGGGAAGGCAUUUGCUUAAGUGUGUCAAGUUCCAGGUAUGAUGAGAUUAGAUGCAGCUCCUCUGCUCCUACUUAAGUCAAACACUUCCAUGUUGCACCUUGUCCCUGGUUGUCUAGUGGGAGUAAGUGGCAGAACAGCAGAGUUAAGAAACUCAAACUCUUUCUCUUUGGAUGGGAAAGCCACUGGGGACUGAAUCCUUCUGGGACUAUAGGAUUAUGUUUCCAAUGGGAGACCCCACAAGUAGAAAAGAGCACUUCUCCCUUCCUCCCCCAAGGCCAAGAAAAGCAAAGAAGAUGUCUAUAAUGAAGAACAUCUAUACAUAUACCCGGAGUUUUUCCUUUUAUUUACAAAGCAGUAAACCAAAUUCCUGUGUGAACAUAAAUAUCCAAUAUAAUAUAAUAUUGCGUAUGCCAUUUCCCCCCUCAAAUAUGACUUCAAUUUUGGCCAGUUGUUCUGACUUAAGCCAAAAAUUAGUUUCAUCUAUAUGAACAUAUGAUGGUAAGUAACCUAUUUAUUACCUUAAAAUGUUUCCCCACAUAAAGGAAAUGGUAGAGAGUAAGGGGAAAAGAGAAAUAAGAGAUGUGAUAAAACCUAUUCCACCAUCUUUAUCUUCAUCCACAGCAUGUCCUAGACAUUCAGUGCCUGGGCCAGUCUCUAUAGUAAACUUGGGCUGAUCUGGAAACGUCUCCACUUAGCUCUGUAAGGAUGGCACCCUUCAGGGUGCUUCAGAGGAAACUUACUGAAUUCAACCCAAGUGUCCUGAAAGAAAUUGAAGAAGUUACUCAAAGAGCUGAACUUUAAAACAAGGAGUAGCUGAGGGUGAGGCAUAUCCUAUCUUGAGUUUCUGAGCACUCUGGUACCAUGGAAUGUCUGUACACUGACCUUCGCCAAAGCCAAGAAAGCCCUGGUAGGAGUCACAGCAGCCAUGGGUGAGCUGAAAGGCUUUUCCUGACUUCCUGGGGUCUCAGGAAUAGCCAGAGGUGAAAAGAUUUGCCUUUUUUACUACAUAAUUGCACAAACCAUGGUAUCUAUUUUCUGAUCCAGAUUUCCAAAGGCUUUUCUGAAAACUACAAGAUAUACCCCUUGUGGACUGUGUGAAAAUAAAUUUAUCUUUAUGUAUUUGAACAGUAGCCAUAGAUGUGCCUCUUCUCUACAGAUUUUUCUGUCACACACAUACACAUAUAAACACACACAUACACACACAGAGUCUGUGUGGUGGGCCAAACAUGCCAAAAAUAAAUACUCUCACUUCUCUAAAUUAUUUAUAGAACUCAUCUGAUUUUUAAAAUAUGUUAAUAAAUAAUCUAAAUGGGGGAGGGAGUUGAAGUGUUUUUUUUUUUUUUUUACUUAUGUUGAUGGAUAGCCACAAAGCAUAAUCAUCUUAUUUACAAAAAACAAAUGCCCCAAAACCUAAAAAAGCCCCCCCAGCAACCAAACAUCUUCUGUAAAUAUAGUUUUUAAAUGAUGAGUAAGGUACUGUGCCAUUGGCCCCCAUUUGGUUAUGUGCAUCAUGUUAGUCAGCAGUAGCCAUUCCACGAAUUCCUCAUGGGUAGUGCAACCAGUUAAAAAGUGUAUAAAACAUUAUACAUAGAAAAACUCUCACAUCCUUUGGAUGUUUGCAGUUCAUCAUAACUUUGUGGUUACCUUUCCGCAACAUAAAUUUAAAAAAAAAAUCACACACACACAUACACUCACACAGACCCAUAUAUAGAAACCCAUUCAUCCAGUCAUACACCAUCCAGAGUGUAGUGCAUGGGACUGAAUUCCAUGAGGCACGAAGGGGGUGAUCCCAUCCUCAGGGUAGUCCAUCAUCUUCAAGGCUUAAUGCCACUCGCUGGGGAGACAAACCAAAGAAUUCAUCAUUAGAUCCAUAAGAGUUACUAUUUAUUUAGUAUUGACAAAUCACAGACUUACGUUACUUUAACAGGUAUUAGCUCACAUAAUGUUCAAACUAUCCUAAGAGACAGGAUUUAUCCUAUUUAUUUUACAGAUGAGAAACAAAACUCAAUGAGCUUAAGUAGGGUUUGUUCUGGAUCACAUAGCAAGUGGCUGAACUAAAAUUUGAUCCCAGGUCUGUAUGAAUCCAAAGCUGUAGAUUUUUUCAUCAUUCUGUUUUGUAUCUUUGUAAAGAAGAGUUGCACAGAUCUAAAUUUUCUUAAUCCUCCCUUAUAGGAUUUUAGGUUUGGUCAAUUUCAGUGGGUUAGCUUUGGCAAAUGUUAAAUUUCAGGCUAUGGGGUUACUUGUCUCUAGCAUGCUAAUCACAUUUAGAAAGGUAAUAUACUGCACCUUCCCAACAGAUUAAACACAGUUGGGAGGCAAUGCAGGUUAAUUAAAUUCCAUCCCUCUCUCCCUCACCCCUGCUUUCCAGUCAUUAGGUAGAUGCUAGACUCCUGUCUGCCAAAAAUGGCUGACCAUGGGAAGGUGAGCCCACUAACCCCUGAACCAGUCUAUUCCAUUGUGGACAACAGAUUUAAAUUCUUUCCUAUAUUAAUGUGAAAUUUGUUUGUUUAUAUCUUCUGACAUUCCCUGAUUCCAUCUCAGACUCAGAGACAGUUCUACAUAGGACAACCCUUGAAAUUUAUAGAUGGUGUUUGAAUUCCCUUCCGUUCAUUCUGAGUGUUUUCUUCUCCAGGGUACACAUCUAACUUUCCCCAGCUAGUCCUGAUGUAAUCUUGUUUGCCUCUUUUCCAUUUCCCAGAUACCCUCCUUUGGAAAGACCCUCCCCAGCUUCAGUACUUUUCCUCAUAGUUAUGUGAAUUUGGGCCAGCCACUUUACUUCUCUGAGACUUAGUUUUAUCAUCUAUCAAAUGGGAAUAGUAACAGGACCUACCUCACAGGGUUGUUGAGGAAUCAAAUGAGAUAAUGCACAGAGAGUGUUUAACAUAGUACCUAACAACACAUAGGGCCCAGAAUAUCCUAGGUCAACGUAACCAACAUAAAAUAGAAUCAGACUAGUAUCUCCCAUCUCUGGACAUUCUACAUAUGAUAAAAAGUAACUCUACUGCCUUUCAAGUCAUCUUUGGGUUAUCUGUAGUUUUUUUAUGAAUGCAAUGGCCAUCCUCCACCAGUGUAGAUAUUUAAGACUAUCUUAUUCUAGUCUAGCUACCCUCCCACUCUCUCUAAGACAGAUCUCUAGGCCAAAGAUAGGCCCCAGUAGUGAUGGUACAGUUAUCCGAGAAAUGGACAGAGGAGAGACAGGUUGUUGAGAAUAUUGAUUUCCAGAGCUUCAAGGCUAUUUACCUCACGAUAUAAAGGAAAGAGCAUGGGCUUUUGUGUAUAUACAGACUGGAGUUUGAAUUCUGGUUCUGCCACUUCCU
rnacentral:lncRNA from 1 species